CACAGUUAUCCAUGAAGAAAUAGGAAAUACCAGUGAGUUGUUACCAGCGUUGCCCCAGGCUGGGAGAGCCCUUCCAGCUUUCCUUUGGCCUCUGACACCCCUGCCCCACUGACCGCCCACCCCCCAUUCCUGUCUGGAAGGCUCGCCUGCCAUCAUCCCGCACAUCCGACAGCUCUCCCUUCAGGGUCACCUCCUCCUUGGACAAAGCAUACGUGACCCCUUGUCAGGUUUCUUGGCUGGGUGCUCCCCCAGAGUUUGGCUCCUGCCCCCAACCAAGCAUGCAUGGUGACAAUGCACCCACUUGAUAACUGAUCACUGGUGUCACUUCCACCUCCCUCCCUCCAUGAGCGCAAACCUCCGGUUAAUACAGUUGGGUCAGCCCAGGGUCCUCGGUGUCCCCAGAGUCUGCCAUGCCUGGUGCUGGGCAGAUACUCAAUAAACACCCAAAAUCAGGCCGGGCUCAGUGGCUCACACCUGUGACCUCAGCACUUUGGGAAGCUGAGGCAGGGAGGAUGGCUUGAGCCUAGAAGUUCAAGACCAGCCUGGGCAACAUAGCAAGACCCCUGUCUCUACUUUUUUUUCUUUUUUUUUUUGAGACGGAAUCUCGCUCUGUCGCCCAGGCUGGAGUGCAGUGGCGUGAUCUCGCCUCACUGCAAGCUCCGCCUCCAGAUUCACGUCAUUCUCCUGCCUCAGCCCCUCGAGUAGCUGGGACUACAGGUGCCCGCCAUCACGCCCAGCUAAUUUUUUGUAUUUUUAGUAGAGACAGGGUUUCACCGUGUUAGCCAGGAUGGUCUCCAUCUCCUGAUCUCGUGAUCUGCCCGCCUCGGCCUCCCAAAGUGCUGGGAUUACAGGCGUGAGCCACCGCGCCCGGCCUGUCUCUACUUUUAAAAAAUUAAAUUAAAUUAAAUUAAUAUCAAUGAGUGAAUAAAUGAAGAAACAAACUUUGGGCAAGCCACUGCCCCUCUCUGGGUGACUUUUUUUUUUCAGUUUUGUAAAAAAGUGACAGUGUUAAAAAUUAGACAUGGAGGCCAGGCAUGGUGGCUCAUACCUGUAAUCCCAGCACUUUGGGAGGCUGAGCCAGGCAGAUCACUUGAGGUCAGGGGUUUGAGAUCAGCCUGGCCAACAUGGUGAAACCCCAUCUCUACUAAAAAUACAAAAAUCAGCCAGGUGUGGUGGUGCAUGUCUGUAGUCCCAGCUACUCGGGAGGCUGAGGUGGGAGAAUCGCUUGAACCUGGGAGGUGAAUGUUGCAGUGAGCCGAGAUCGC
rnacentral:lncRNA from 10 species